AUGCGUGGUAGUGAACAAAAAGGAAUGUGCACUGAAUGUGGCUUCAGGGGCUGCAUUCAUCUUUGUAGAUUGUAUGAACUAGACAGGUGUAGUUCUCUCAUGGUAUUUGUUGAUUGAAGAGGCGCUGAUAGUCAUCAGAGGUGAGAAGACUGUUAGUAACAAAAGAUUUUGGUUUUUUUUCUUCUCUUUCUGCUUAAUACCCUCUGUAACCCAUUGUUGCUUCUAUCUUUCUGAAGUUUGCCUUCUUUCCUGGUCUCGUUCCCAUGAUUCUUCUGGAAGUCUUUUUCAUCACUGCAUACAGGGCUUCUCUGGCUACAUGCCUGCCCUGUCAUGUUCAGCAGAUGUCUUACCUCAGUGCAGGUGUGGCUUUGUAAAGGCCAAGUUUUGGACCUUGAAUAUAACCCAUUCUGUCUUUCCUUCCUAUUAACUAAUUAAGUGCUUUUUGCUCCACUGCCUGCUAGGUAGCUGAUGUGUUUCUGACCGGCAUAAAGUAAGUUGGUCCUUGGAUGAAGAAGUGUGUCUCAUUUAAACUGGACCACGUCCAGGAUCUCUAAUGAUAAUCACUGUUGUACUGACAUGAAAGAUGGGGGAGUUGGUGACGCUGCUGUGAAGCAGCCAUCAGGAUGUUGUUCUGUAGUGUCAGAAAGGCAAGUCACCUUGUUCAUCAAAUGAACAAGAAGGGAAUAAGACAGGAAAGAGAGUGGUUAGGAAGCCAUGAAGAAGUACUUAUCAGCCAGUUUGCUUGUUGGGCUUUGUGCUCAUUCCAGCUGUGCUUUUGCCAUCCCUCUGCUCCUUCCAGGAGUGGAUGCUCUUGCUCAUCCUAUUUUAAGCACCUGCUUGUGCACGAAACCCUGCUGUCUGCACGCAGUGUGGUUUGGACAGUUGCAGGUGCUUGUCUGAGUGGGUGAUGCUGUGCUCUAUAGAGAGCAUAUUUUCUGUUUUGUCUGACAUCAAGAAAUACAGCUUUUCUGCAGUCAUCUCCUAAAAGCGCCCUGCCUCACAAGAAGAAAUAGCUUGUCCAAACUGAUGUUGUCCAGCUUCUCACAAGAUCAUUCCUGCAGUUCUGAGAUAGCCCUUCUGUUUACGCAGCAAAAUCGAGUUUCUCUACUGGAGUGGUAAGGAAUCCACUUUUCUCAUCAGAAAUCUAUGCAAAAUGUGUGCUUGCCCUCUGACUGCAUGAUACCUGCUGUGACCGUGGCUGAGGAGGAAGGGCAGCUGCCUCAGGUGCUUCGUUAAUUCUGCUUUUGUGCACAGCUUUGUUCCGUGGUCCCGAUCUACCCAUCGUGACUUGCAGGGAUCCAAUGCUGUUUUAUGUCUGCAUAUUCUACUGGAUGAAAUGGAUAUGACAUGAAAUGAAUAUGAGAGAAGGAAUACCUGAAGAAAGGAGCUAGCAAAGAAUGGAGCACCAGGAUUUCUUAGCUGUGUGAAGUUUGACUGUGAACUCGUGCUGUACUUUCUGUGAGCAGUAACUCCUGAAUGUGAACGCAUAAGAAGUGCCUGCAGAGCACUGCAGCCCUGCUUCAAUGAUGGGAUGGAGAACCUGUGAUCUGGAGGAGCUCAGGUACGAGGAGCAGCGUGUUACCAGGAGCACAGUUCAGAAAUGUGUGAUCUGAAAGCACGGAUGAGGCUACUGUCCCUUUGUUUUUGAGCACAAACCCUCUGUUGAGAGUGAAAACAACUUUGUCUUUUCCUGCAUAUUGUAGUCACCUGAAUUAAAUGCACUCCAGGUGAACAUAUCUGACAUUUUUUUCUGUUUUUUUUGUCUGACAAGAGCUGAUUGCAGAAUUCCUGAGACAGUGGGGAAAAAAGAUUUAUAGAACUGUAGAAAAACUGUUUCUCCUUGUCACAGGUCCUCUCCUUAAAGUAGUUCAACUUAAAUUGUGUUUCUAAGAAACAGCAAGAAAUUGGAUUUAUCUGAAUGAGAGUUAAAACAGACAUGGCAGUAUUUGUACUGGGUUGCAUUUUUUGCUUCUCUGUUUUUUUUCCCUACUCCCAGACAUGCCUUUUCCUUUCCAGUGUAUCCAUAUCUGGAGGUUCUGACUAGACGGAGACUUGUGAGGGUUAAAAUCUCGAGGAACAGCUGGGAGAUGCUUAGCAAGCUGAAGUGACUUAGAGUUAAGGGUCUUCUGAGUCUACUAAGAAGCCCCACCCUGUCUUGGUCUGCCUUCUCAGUGACACUGGUAUCACAUUACAGUUCAGGGACUAAAGGGUAGGAACCUGGGUAUUUCCUGUGUUCAGCCCUAUUAACAUAGAAACAACAUUCUGGAAUAUCGUGUGGCAAACCUGCAAGGUUCUGGUGGGACAGUAUUGCCAUGCUAAUCCCCUGCUUGGGGUUACAGGAAAGAAGUACUUUUUUCUCCAUGCUUACAUCUAUGCAGCCCCUGAAAAUAGUCAGCAGAAUUUGGGUGCUUCCAUUAUCAACUAAUUGAAUUCGUUUGGCUCAAUCAAGCAUUCAGCUAUUCUGCAGCCAGUGGUGUCAGAUGGGACAUGUAUUUGGCUGAGUUUCACAAAAAUUGUUGGCUCCACAUUGGUUGUACAAUGGGGAACACAAAACCACUUCAGGAUUCAGCUUUCACAGCUUCUCAGCAUGUUAUCUGAACUGUUGUCUGUAUGCAGUGCUGCAAUUGCUGCUAGGGUUUAAGCACAUCUCCUGGUCUUGAUCUCCUCUUUGUCACCUUCUCACCUUUUCAGCAAGUCUGGAGGAAGCUGAGCGCAGCAACCUUUUGUGUUUUCCGCUCUAAAUGUCAUUCAUCUUCAAGAUUUUCCUGUCAGCCACGUUAAAUAGCAUUCCACCAUGCUCACUCACUUGCUAUACAUUCCAGAUUUGCAUCCUGAAUGUGGAAAUUAUUUAUGAAUUUCUCGAAUACUUUAUCUUAUGUUAGAUUAAUUGUAGAUUAUGUCUCCUUCUGCUGUCUUUGUGUUCUCAGGCUCAGCUUUCAAAGAUCUGAAUGGCUAUGUGAUAAAGUGAUGAGAGGCAAUAAAACUAUAGGGCAAAACCACAUAAUUAGAGGAAGGAAGACACUAUGGACUGCAAUGCAGCCUUUGAAACUUCCUCGUCAUCUACUGCUACUGGUUAUAACUUUUGCACAUGGAAGCAUACAGAGGUAGAGUUUGGGGGCCUUAUCCAGAGUACUGUGUUUACUGCCAGUUGCACUGCACUGAUAUCAUUUGUUUGUACUUUGAACCUUACCAGGACCUCCCCAGAAAUUCUCUUGUAGAUGUGGAGUCAUAGGCCUCAAAGUAAAGCUGUACCUCUGAGCUUCUGUGAGGCUGAAGUCAAGGAAUUAUCCUGUAAAUCCAGAGUGAGUCACACCUGGAUAACCCAUUGUGUGAUACAGAUCCCUGCUGGGUUGCAGUUUGCAGCCACAGGGAAGUAUUGACACUUACUCAGCUUAAAGACCAAAUAUAAAUUAAAUCAAAACAGAAGUCCCAGCAGCUUUGGGAGGAAGACUUGGCCUUUAGACUCCUUUUGCUCAUCUCUAAAGGUAAGUUUUCCUCUCAGAUGACCUAAUGGCAGUUUCUUCUGAAGAUGCUGUUUAGCUCUCCAUGUUAAUCCAUGCGUUGAAACAAAUGCUGCUGCUGGUGUGUGGAGCAGCUUCUCUCUUGCAGGCACUCUAUGCUGGCAGGGCUGCAGCUGUCUGACACCAAACUUGUACAUGGCUAGAGAUCAGCUUUCUAAGAACCCGGAGGGCCCUCCUUUCUGCUGGCUUCCCCCCAUAUCUCCAUGCUGCGUGAGACUGCUGUGAGCUUUUAUACAGGCAGUAUAUUUACAGUAGCACUGGAUGUGAAGUGCAAAAUGCUCUUUAAAGUCUGCUUAAAAUCUCUCCCCUGUCAGUUCCCAAAUUUAAUAAUGAUGGAGUUUGGGAAAGGUGUACGAAGUGCUAUCUGGUGUGUAUGUGCAAGAGAUGAAGUGCAUGUGUAGUUAUAAAGCACUCUUCAGAAUCUGGUCUGCAGUCUAUUAACAUGCUGAACAUGCCUUUUUUAUGGUGGUGAUUUACAGUCCAGCACAACUAUGUGAAAUCGCUUCAUUAUAUUUGAAUAAUGAAAAGAGUGCCAUCAAAAAGGCAUGUCUCCAGGGAUCUCUCUGAGGCAACACUUUAAACAAAUGACUUUUUAGAUAAAUUUAUUAUGAAGUGUGAUGAAAGCCAUUUUUCUUAGCAGUCACAUCUUGUGAAAUCAAUGAGCUUUGUUGUGCUGUAGUUUUUUUUUAAUCUCUUACAUAAGUAAAGACUAUGUCUGUAUAAAUGGUGGUUGAUGUUCUGCAAUCACCAUGGAAAGGGAAUGUAAUGUUUUAGUGUUUAAAUUCUGGUUUGUUAUGGCUGCUAAAUAUUUGUGGACUGAACUUAACAGCCUAGUCUUGGAGUUGGAAAUAUCAGUUGCCCUAAAAAUUGUUUUUACAGGCAGCUAUGAAUGUUCAUCCAGAUUUGUUAAGCUAAAAUGUGUUUUUAUAAAAUUACAGCAUUUGCCUAAGACCUCUUCUGCCAAAGGAGUACCCAGCUUUCCUGGUGGCAGUCUGUUAAACUGUGCUACAAGAAGUUGGCCAAACCACUCAGAAAUAACUAUCGUUGGGGCUUUCAUAGUAUUAUAAAAACACUUCUUAUUGCUUUGUCAUGUGAGCAUCCUUGAACGUCUCAUUAAAAAUCUAACAUUUGAUUAUUAAUGAGACAGUUUUUUUUUCUAAAAUCCGCACUGACUUUCAAAGACGCAAUGAAAACACGUAUUGUGUCAUCAGGACAAUGAUAUUUUGAAUGAAGAUAAAUUAUGUUCUUUCUUCUGGAACUUCAUUGAAGUUGAACCUGAUGAAGUUCAACAAGAACAAGUGUAGAGUCCUGCACCUGGGGAAUAAUAACUGCAUGCAUCAGUGCAGUCAGGGGCUGAGCUGCUGCAGAGGAGCUGUGCAGAGAAGGACCUGGGGGUCCUGGUGGGCAGCAGGCUGGCCAUGAGCCAGCGGUGUGCCUUGGUGGCCAAGAAAGCCAAUGGUAAUUAAAAGCAUUGCAAAGAGCAUAGCUGGCAUGUUGAGGGAGGUGAUCCUCCCCUCUGUUGUGCCCUGGUGAGGCCACAGCUGGAGUGCUGUGUCCAGUACUGGGCUCCCAAGUUUAAAAACAAACAAACAAAACAAAAAAACAACACAGGGAUCUCCUAGAGAGAGUCCAAUGGAGGGCCAAAAAGGUGAUUAAGGGCUUGGAGCAUCUUCUGUAUGAGGAAAGACUGAGAGAGCUGGGGCUGUUCAGUCUGGAGAAAAGAAGGCUGAGAGGGGAUCUCAUCACUGUUUAUGAAUAUCUCAAGUGCAAGAGUCAAGUCAAUGUGGGCAGACUCUUUUCAAUGGCAAGCAACAAUAGAACAAGGGGCAGUGGCCAGAAACUGAAAUAUGGGAAGUUCCAUACUAAUGCAGAGAAGAACUUCUUUACUGUCAGAAUGACAGAGCACUGGCACAGGCUGCCUGGAGAGGUUGUGGAGUCUCCUUCUAUGAAGAUAUUCAAGACCCAUCUGGACACCGACUUGUGUGACCAAUUGUAGGGAACUGCUUUAGCAGGGGGUUCGACCCAGUGAUAUCUUGAGGUUCCUUCCAACCCCUGCGAUUCUGUGAUUCUGAUUGUGUGGCUCUGUGAUUUAAGGCUGUGUAUUUUCCCUCUUCUUUUUUUUACAGUUAUUUGAAAAUGUUUUUGUCCUGAAGUCACCCCUCUUUGACUCUCCUUAAAUGGAGUACCAAUCUGAGGUUGGACAUGCUUUAAUAGAGGCUGCUUCUUUCUUCUUCUUCUUUUUUUUUUUUUUUAAGAGGUGGAAAUCAUGGAAUAAUAGAAUGGCUUGGGUUGGAAGGGACCUUAAAGCCCAUGCAGUUCCAACCCCUGCCCUGGGCUGGCUGCCCCCCACGAGGUUAGGCUGCCCAGAGCCCCUCCAGCCUGGUCUUGCACAUCUCCAGGGAUGGGUACCCAUAGUUUCUCUGGGCAGCCUUGGCUUUCCUGCUCCCAUCCAUGCACAUCCAGACAGCAUCUCUCUAUUCUUUGCAGGCCACUCAAUCCUGCUUCCACUGCCUGCACAUCUUCUUUCCCUCACUCUGACCAGCAGGGACUUGCCCAGCCAUGCCAGUUUCCUGCCUCCUCUACUUGAUUUCUUAUUCUGGAGGUUGGAGAGCUCUUGUACUCUCAGAAAGGUGUCCUUAAAGAGCUGCCAUCUCUGCUCUGUUCCUUUGUCCCUAAGAACAACUUCCCAGGGGAUCUCACCCAACAACUCCCUAAGCAGCCUGAAGUUUGUUCUCUUGAAGUUCAGGGUCCUGACUGCUCUUUGCCAGGUGCAUAUUCCUUGAGAUCACAAAUGAGACUAGGGCAUGGUAGCUGUAGCCCAACCUGCCUCUAAUCUUAAUCUCUUUAUCUGUCUCCUCUGAAUCUAUGAGCUCCCUGGUCCAGUAACCCUUCUCCUCUGUCAGUUAGACUAAUACCUGGGCCAGGAAGUUACUGUCAAUGGGCUCUGGGAGUCUCCUGGGCUGCUUGCAGCUCACUGUGUUGCUUUCCCACAAGAUGUCUGGAUGAUUGAAAUCCCCAUCAGGAUUAGAGUCUGUGACACUUCUUGCAGCUGCAGCAAGAAUGUCUCACCCACAGGCUUUCUUUGGUCAGACAGCCUGUAGUGGACCCCAACCACCAGAUGUCCUUUAUUGGUCCAGUCCCUAAUUUUGACCCACAGGCUCUCAGUCUGAUUGUGGGUGAUUCUCAGAGGCAGCUCUUCACAGUCUAUCUAUUUCUUAACAUAGAGGGCAACUCCAGCACAGGAACAGGUUGCCCAAGGAGGCUGUGGAUGCCCCAUCCCUGGAGGCAUUCAAGGCCAGGCUGGAUAUGGCUCUGGGCAGUCUAGUCUGGUGGUUGGUGACCCUGCACAUAGCAGGGGGUUGGAACUCGAUGAUCAUUGUGGUCCUUUUCAACCCAGGCCAUCCUAUGAUUCUAUGAUUUCAUGAUUCUAAAAAUCUCUUAGCCCUCAAUCAUAGUGUUCCAGUUGUGUGACUUGUCCCACCGUGUUUCUAUGAUAGCAAUUAGGUCAUGGCUUUUUAAUAAUGACCUCAUAGGAAAAAAAUCACUCUCUUUGUCUUGAGCUGAAAAAUAUAGGCGUGUCCAUCUGUUAAGUAAGUUUUUGUGCUCAAAUGUAGAUACGGUUCUCUGAAAUGCCUUAACAACUAUUAUGAUAGUGAAAGCAUCUUGAAUGCAACUCGAGAGACCUGGAUUCUUUUCCUGAAAUAACCACUGAUUCUCAAGUCACUUAAUUUCCAUAUCUUGAAAACAGAGUAGUGUGUUUGCUGUCUUUCAUAAAGAGCAUUCAAAUCUACAUAUGCAAAGUGAUAUGUAAACAUUUGUAAUAAUAUAGUGGGUGAUAUUCUCCAGGGAUAUAAAAAGGGGUGACCAGAAGAUGCUGGGAGAAUGAACUGACUUCUGCAGCUGUAGCUGAGCUCUUUGUCUUACUGGUGGUAACUUGCAACUCAGAAUUUGGUGGUGGGGAGACAGAGUGCACAGUCAAUCAGAGUGCAGUCAAUUAGAGCAUGGUCAAUUAGAGCACGGUCUGAUUGACUGAACCUUAAGGAAACAUACUCUGUUUGUGUUUGCAUUAACUUAAAGGAUUCUCAAUCAUGAGGUAUGUGUAAACAUAGUGGGGUUUCUAUUUUCAAACUCCAAUUUUUCCUUUUCUGUUGCCUUCCAACUGCCACCUGAAAGGAAUCCCCAGUGGGAUUGCUUCUAAAAGUCCAAGCAUAUCUACAGCAGAAGAAGAACAUUUUGUCUUUACAUACUCACGCUGCAGAAAGGAAACAUUAUGUGGCACCUCAGCAUCAGACAUUUGCUAAGACACGCAGUGGUGGCCCUGUUUAAUUCCUCCUAGUGGACAAACUGCUCCAGCAGUCACCAGUCUAUGAGCUGACUCCUGGCUCCCUGAGGCAGUUAGUGCAGCACUGAGAUGCUGCUUUUAUUUCUGAGCCGUUUGGUGAGUGCAUUUUAAUCAGAGAUGUGGAAGAAGUGUUGGGGAGGAGGUGCAGCCUUCUCCUUCUCAGGUAAUUAAUCAUCUGAUUUUUGGUGUCUCAGUAAUUACUGUUGGCAAAAAAAAAAAAGUCAUUUGAAUGGUGGCAAUAUACUGCAAGCAAACAUAACUUGGAAUGACUUUGUUUCAGCCACUUGUCUGUUCUUCAUGAGCAUUUUUACAGUCAGCUGAGGACUUGUAACCAAGCCUUUGGCCACAACUGUCAGCUCCAGAUUGCCUCUAGCAGGCAAGGGUGUGAUUGCAAGAUGCUACCAUUGCUUCUGGCCGCUGGCCUUAUUGUGCUGAGUAUGCACGAAGGGACGUGCACAGCCCUGACUGCUGUUGGAUCUGAUUUCCACUGAAUUCUGCUGACCCUUAAACUGCUGCUGUGAUGGACUGAAGUAGCCUGAAGUGAACCUUUUCUCCCCAGCCAAAGCAAAAUGUUUAUCAGCAGCUCCUCUAAAGCCACUGCUGUUGCCCAAGUCUCUCCUUCUGCUGUUUGCUGCCUGCAGGAAGGCACGGGGAGAUAGCGAGCAGCCUGGGUGAACCUGCUCUGCUCCGACAGCCACUUUAGUUACCUGCCCCGAACCUCUGCUGCCAGCAGAGGCAGCUGUUGGUUCUGAGGCCAUCUGGAGGCACAAGGCAGGAUUUGAGGGAACUGCCUUUCUCUGGAGCCUCUUGUAGCACUCGUAGGCUUUGUUUAGUUAUUUAUCCAUCCUUCCAAUGCCCGUGCCAGUUUAGAACUUCCCAACGCUUUAACUACCAGAGUGUUCCUGAAUAGGUCAGAGUCAUUAUCCAUUCCUAUGAGGCAUACUGAACAGAAGAUUUGUUUUAAAAACAGAUGAAACAAUCAGCUUCUGAGCUAAUGUGGGGGUUUCUUGUUUACAUGGGCUUCAGCUCAGGCUGGACAAGGAGCUGGAAGAGUUUCUGCUGUGGGUACUCCUGUAUGUUCUUGCAGAGAUUCUUCGAACGCCGGUGGUUCUGUUAGCAUCCCUACGAGUGAAGCUGUGGUUGAGCAGAACCAAUUUAAAGUUGUUACAUUUGUCUGAGCUAAUCUUAUUUAUUUCAGGGCUUUUGCUCAGCUCUGCCCUUCUUGUUCCCGAGCACCUCUGCAUGAGUCGCCGCGGGCACAGCUGUGUGCCUGGGGACUCAGUUCUAUGGGAGCUCCCAGCUCAGGUUUGGGUACUGAGUGUUCCCCAGUCAGUAGGAGGAAAAAACUCAGAAAUCCUCAGAGUGACUGCUGCCAUUACUUUGCAGAGAGCCUGUGAGAGCUCAUUUAUAAGGUAUCUGACAGCAGUCAGCACCAGAUCGUUCAUAAUGUCUUUGGAGUGUUUGAGGCCAGAUAAAUCCGACUGAUUUUCUGCCUUUGUGAAUAGCUGUGAGCAUAAAUUAAUCUCUAAUUUGAGGGGAAUGCUGCGUGUUAGAUGGAAAUGCAGGACAGAGCUGGAGGGGGCAACCUGGGCCUUUUUAUUCUAUCUAAACAUUAAAAUGUUCCAUCUGUACUUCUACUGCGAUCUGCAGUGGAAGUCAAAGGAAGGAUUUUGUCUCUUUUCUUUUAUAUUUAGUAUUUCUCUCAACGCUUCAGAAUGUUCUCUCUGUUUUUUUGGACAAGGGGUGCAUGUUUUUUCCCCACUUCUUAUUCAUUUAUGAAUUUAAAGGUCAACGUUGGGAUUUUUCGUACUCAAAAGUGUAUUUUCUGUUUAUUAUACAUAUUUUAGGUGAGUGGUAUUUUAUUUACUUUAUUGUUUGUUGUAGAUGUUCAGCUAUAUCUGUGCUAAGAAAUAGGUCCAUUACUCGACGCAGGUGACUAGCUCUGGGUGCCCCCACCUGGUUGGAGCUGCCUAUUUCAUUGCAGUGUUGCUAAAUCCUCUAAAUCCUUUCUGUAUGGUUUUCAUUCUGAAAAAGAUUAACCACAAAACAGCAAUGCAGGCAGUUCAGAUUCCUGCAGAGCACUGCUUAUGCAUUUGGUGUGUAUUUCAACUGGAGUAUGUCAGCAGCUGACAACAGGAAAGAAUCGUAGAAUGGCCUGGGUUGAAAAGGACCACAAUGACCGUCAGUUCCAACCCCCUGCUAUGUACAGGGUCGCCAACCAGCAGACCAGGCUGCCCAGAGCCACAUCCAGCCUGGCCUUGAAUGCCUCCAGGGAUGGGGCAUCCACAGCCUCCUUGGGCAACCUGUUCCAGUGCUUGGACUGAAGGUACCGAGCUCUUCAGAACUGACUGACCCUGGCAGUUCUGAUUUGAGGUGUAAGGCACAGAUCUGAGCCAUACGUGUUCUUUGCCACUAGGGUGGUGAUGCAGACAAGUUAAUGUUUGGAAGGCAUACAGCUAUGCUGGGCUAAUGUUUGAGCCUACAGUAAAGUGCCUACCACAAACCCAUCCUUCUUGAUAUAAAAAUGUCAAAUAUUCUUUUACUACUGUUAAAGGACAUAAAGGAAAAGUUGCAGAAAGAAAUUCCCUUCUGAGAUUUUCAGUUGUAAAAACUGUUGUUCUCAUACAAACUUCAAAGCAAAGCUAGAAGAACACAUGAAGAGGCUGUUAGUGCAGCUGUGGUUUCUAAAAUAUGUGGCUCAUGCAAGUCCUGAAAGGUACAACUGAUCCUUUACCAGCAUGAAAGCUGGAGAGCAGCAGAGCCCCAACAAGCGCAGGAGGCUGUUUGGAUGUCACACAGUUCAGUGGUCUCACAGUCCCAAUGUCAGACACACAGAGCCAGGCCCAGGCUGAGGUUGUCCCAGAAGAUCAUUGCUGUAGAUUACUGAAGUACAAAGGCUUGUAAACAACUACAGUGUCCACACGUGGGGCUGAAAAUGAGCUGUUAAGAGCUGAAAAUAUCAAUGUCUGAAAUUGGAAUUACUGACUCCUACUGGUUAGAGUUCCACCUCUCCCACUUAGAGAAUUGUUGGAUGCUCGUAAUGUAGCUUUUCACACUUUUUACUCUGUCCCUUAAAUUAUGUCUGUUUGAAUGUGAUUUCUUGAAGCCUUCAUUAUUUGUAAGUGAUUAUGUUAGGCUUUGAUAUAUUUUAGGUAUGAGAGUGUUUGAAUUAUCUGCUUUUCUCCUUUUAGCUGUCAUUUCAGGUAAAUAACAAUUCUGCAAGUUUGUGGUUUUGACUUCUCACCUCAGCGGUUUGGAUCAGUGAUUGAGGACGUGGACCCAGGAAUUUGAAGAUGAGCUUCACUUUUAAUGUCUUCAUUUGGACACCAAGCAAAUCCCUAACUAAUUGAGGCUGAAAUGCCUUAGGAUGAUAUUUGCUGUUCUUUAUUUAAAUUCAGAGGGUUUAUCACCACACAGACAUUUCAGUUGCUUAUUCUAGGAAACUCAUGGAAACGUGCUUUGUUAAAUAAUGUAUUUUCUAUUUUUUUUUCCCUUCCUUGUGUUACAAAAUGAAUGUAAAAGCUUUAAAACCCAGCAUUCACCACUCUGCAGUAGAUCUAAUAGAGUGGCAUUAUAUGAAGAGAUGCCAUGGUAACUGAAGUUGCCAAGACAGUCAGUGUCAAGCUUUUUAAUGGUGACUGCUAUACUAUAUUUGGCUUUGAUUACCACAAUCUGAAUAGCAAAUGGAAAGUGUUCACCGGUCUCAUUUGCUACCACCUACAGUCCAGAAGUAACGAGAUGACAGAAUUCAGUGUUGCACUGACUGCCAACCACUGGCCAUCAGGAUUGUUCUUUGCAGCACUCCCCUCUCCCACUGGAUCUCAUGGCAUCCUUAUCACAGCCUUACCAUUUGUGCUAUCCAGUUGGUGAUAUGCCACUUGUCUUAAUGAAAUUUGGCACCUGAAGCCAGUAGAGGAGUCUGCACUUUGUGAGCUGGCAAAAAAUCAGCAAAGUCAUUUCCACAGGAAACUGUUCUUUAAAUCUGUAAGUGGUGCGAAAGCAGAAUAAAGCAGAAACGUACACUGUUUUUUUCUCAUAAAUGGGUUAAGUGUACCUUACCUCCCUUGCUGUAAAGCUUUGUAGAUCCUGUUAUCAUCAGUUUUCACAAAAAUGAUACUUUCUUCUGUCUCCAUAAUUUUGGUUUAUUUUUUAAAUGCCAGAAUAGAAAGCGAGGUCCCAUCGCCAAGGUGCCAUUUUAUCAUUUUGCUCACUCUAAUACAAAUGAUUUACCUAUACACUGAAGUAUUACCGUAAGUUAUAAUGAAGCUCCUUGCUAAAACGUGCAGCAGCAGUUCCAAAACAUUACUCAUUACUUUUAAAUCCAGAACUAAACUUUCUGCCAGUAGUAAUAGCCUCAUGCUGUUAAAAAGGACUGUUUUUAACAUGCUGUUAAAGGACUGCUUUACUUAAAAGGAAGCAGUCACAGAGCAGACUAUGAAAUGCUUCUUGAAUGAGAUGAACAGUCCUGGCCAUAACAGUUGUAGACUAUUGGGAAACUCAAUAGGCAGCUAACAGGAACAACUUGGGUAGGAAGAGCUUGAGGGUGAGUGCAGCUCAGCUCAGAACAGCCUUCUGUCAUUCUCUCUUGCAGUUAGGCAGACAUAAACAAAGAAGCAUGAUGGGAAGAAACUGAUAUCUUGGAGGGAAGGGAAAGACUAAAUAAAGAGUAGGGAAAAAGCUUUAACAAUGUGAUUCUUUAGAUAGAAAGCUAGUCUCAAAAGACCUAUCACUUGACACAUGAAAAAUUGAUUGGAGAAAGCAGUAGCAAAUAGUUUUCCAGGAAGAAUGUUGUAUUGGCAGGAGGAUGGAUAAGAUGAUCACAGUUCAUUUACUUAAGUUUUAUCCAACAGCAUUAUGAAGUAGGAGAAUAUAUGGGUGAUUUCAUGUGGUUUUGGAUCGUGUGGAUUUUGAACAAACCAGUCAGGAGGUAGCAGCAUUGCUUUGGAGAUCAGCAAAUGAAGAAAAACAGCUUCAGUUGAAAGGGAACAGAUUUGACAGGAAAAAUUCAUAUUUGUUAAAGAUUGGUUUAGAAUACUGACAUCAAAUCUCACUGUCAGUGGAUAUUUUCUUCAACGGCUGUAUCUCUACUGCUAAAAUGCAACACAACAAAUUCAGAUUCAUUCCUAAGAUCAAUUUGUUCAAGUCAACAAAAUUUUUGUCACACCACUGUUAAACCUGAGAUGCCUCAAAUAAAGAGUAUAACUUGGCUUGAAAACAGCACGAAGGAUGAAUGUAAUCCAUGCCAUCGAGAAAAUAGCCAAUGUUAAACUAGAUGAGUUUGACACCAAUUCAAAAGGCAUCUUCUUGUGUCCUACAUUCUAGUAAUUUUGUUGACUAAAUUAUGUGUUUAAAUUUAUACGGCAAACUCAGGCCAGCAUUUGGGUUCCUGUGAUUAUUCAUUUGUAAGGCUGUGAAUGCUUAUUAAUGGCUCCUGGCUUUAGAAUGAGCGUUUAUGCUUCCAAAGCACUGCACAUGACUAAUUUGUUCUUCUGCUUAUUCGAAAGCAGCAGGGGUUGUCAAGAAGCCAAAUCUACACUGAAUUAAAACCACGUUGCUUUGCUUCCAUAGAAGAGGUAAUACUUGGCUGUUGUAAAAAAGUCACACUUCAAUUGAGCAUCAGUUCAUCACUGAAACUACAAAGUGGAGCAGUCGCAGAGGUAAGGUGAUGGUAAAUGCAAUGUGACGUUUCUCCUGGGCCAUACUGCAGAGAAACCUUACCUUUGUGUGGUGCAGCUGAUGUUGUGUACUUCCCAGAAAAAACAAAAGAGCUGUAAGGUUGCAGCAGAACGCCAUGUCAAGGGAACCCAGAGUCUAAUUAAUCUCAGAGAAGUAUAAAGCCAUAACGAGUACCCACUUCAUUUUGUUUGAGUUGGUUUCUGUCCAGGUUAAUGUGAAACAGAGUGACCUGGUUGUAUGUAUGGGCCUGAAUGCGUUCCCAUGUUCUGCUAUAUAUCCCCACUACUAAGAUUCAGUCUAACCUCCAGCGUUUGGCAACCCUUUAUGGUCUUCUGCCAGUUCUUCAGUCUUCAGAGGAGGUUUGAAGCUUCUCGAUAACGAUUUCACAUAGCAGUUGUGGAUCCUAAUGGUAAAUAUUUUUGGUUGGCGUUCCCUGAGGCUGCCAGUUAGCAGCUAACAGUGACACUCGACUGGUUUCUGUGCAGUGGAACUGUGCAGUUAGAUUAAAUCUCACUGAGUUAUUGCAAGGAGUUACACUGUGGCUAAAUGUUUGUACCACUGCAACCUGUAGUUUUCAAUAUAAUUCUCUGCAGCCUGGCAAGUGCAUUAAUGGUUUUACAUAGUGCGAGGAACAAAAGGUUGCUUAGAUGCAGCGCAGCUGCUGAAGGUGGUUAUAAAAAGGCCCAUUUAACAUUCAUAGAUUCAGGGAAAGAAAACAGGAUAACCCUGCUGCUGGUUGUAGGGGUGAGUGUGAGCAGCUGCUUCAUGCGAUGCACAGCUGUGCCAGCGAUGUGCUGCAGAAGCGAUGAAUUAAGCUGUAAAGUGCAAGUCUCUGUGUACAACGUCCCGUUUUUGGAUAGCCCUGGAAAGUAAUGUAGAAGCUGUACAUGAGUGCCUCAAGUCUCUUUGCUUGCCUGUGCAGCAAUUAAUUUCAUACCUAUGCUAUGAAACCCCUGGAACAUCCCGUGUAGUGCGCAAACCAAGCGCUGUGCACAAACCUCCCAGCUAGACCAGAGGAAUUUAUAUCCCCUUCACUGACACACACAGACUGCUGGGUUGGUGAAAUGCUCUGAUGUGUUGGAUAAUAUGUGCAGGUCGUUGAACUUCAGUAGUACUGGAACAUGUGGAACAAACACUCUUGAAAUGAAGAAACUCCCAGCUUUGGGGCUGUGGCUGCAACCCUCCAAGGUGCUAGAUGUGUGAAAUGUGUUCUUCAGCACUGUACCUGAACAAAAAUCCUUCUGUCACUCCCUAGAAUUGCUAAAAAUGCUAGUUGUGUUUUAUAGAUAAAUGAUUGAUUGUGAGUUGUUGGCAUCAGCAACACUGCAGGCAUCACCGCCAUGCAGAGCUUUGUCUGAUUCCUGCCUGGCCAGCAAUGGUAAAUAGGUGCAGGGCUGGAGGAGCUCCAGGUGUCACUGUUAGGACAGCACCUGGGUAACUGGAGGGGCUUGUUUGUCACUGCUGAGGGAUUUCUGUGACCAAGACUCAACAGCUGCAUGCAGGGCAGCUCUGGCUGAAUCACACAGCUUCAGGUGUGGGAAGCAGCACUGCUUUAUGGAGGCUGCCUUUUUACUUUGGAGGUUUCUUAGCUGUUACAUAGUUGGUCACUGAUAACUUUGGCACAUUUUUGGUGGAGUAAUCUUGCCAGCAGCUUGAUACGUAGCUACAGAAAACAAAACAAAAGCAUCCUCGCUUUCCUCAUUCUUUCCCCUCAAAUGAAGUAAUUUGAAAAGUGCAGAGCUCUGUUAAAAAGCAGAAUCAUCUGGGAAAGGAGAUUUGUCCUGACAGAGAUGGCAGGGGUUUGCUAAGCAGCAAGGCUGUGUGACUCCAUCCUCGUGGAACUGCUCCAGCACUGACCAGACGCACUCCUUCCAGGUCAGGACAGUGGGAGCUUGAGCCUUACUCUGUCCAAACAGCUUUGGACCAGACUUUGCUGCUGUCUCCUGCUCUGUGGUCCCGUUAUCUAUGGCAGCCUGGUUGGAAUGGUGUUGCUCAGACCUCUUGGGCAAGUCACUGCAAGCCCUGGUUGCUGGGAGAUCCUGUCUGCUUAUCGCAACUCCAGCCAGUGCUAUGACUUGCAAGAUGCAGCAUGCUGAGGGCCCUCACUAGCACCUUGUCUCUCUAACUUUGCUAUGGGCUUGUCAUGGGCAGGCUCACUGUCACCCCUUUCCCCCUUCAAACCUGGUUUAAAGCCCCCUCAAUGAACUCAGACAUCUCCUGGGCUAGAAUUCUUUUCCCCUUAGACUCGGGUGGACUCCAUCCAAGCCAGGCUCCAAGUAAACCACCCCGUAGUCAGAAAAGCCAAAAUUCCUGCAGUGGCAUCAGGCUGUCAGCCAUGUAUUUAUCAAACAGACGUUUCUGGUCCUCUCAGUAUCCCUCCCUGCAACUGAAGGGAUUGAGAACAUCAUCUGUACUCCCGCUCCAUCCACUGCCCUUUGGUAUUUGUAAUGUUUGUCACAGUUGUUGGUUCUUGGAAGAAUGCAGUGUGUGCUGCUAAAUGGGGAUGGAAAAUGCAACAGCCGCAUCCAUGUAUAUUGAAAUGCAUUGUGUAGCACUACAGAAGUGUUUUCAUAAAGCUGACAUUCAGAAAAACAUUCAGAAAUACAUAUACUAUAGCAAUACUAGACAACAUCUGUUAAUAUUUUAUGCUUUUUUAAACUCACAGCCCUUGGAGAAGGAGAGAUUUGACAGUGAAAUAUUCAACUGAUUUCAGCAGCAGUGGGUCAGAUCCACAAAUCAGGCCACUGAUGUAAUUUGUCCCUAGAGCUUUAGCUGUCUAUGGAUGCUGGUAAGGUACUGGUGCCUGUUGUUGCCUGCCUUUGGCAGCAAGAGCACUCCCCGUUUGUAAGGAAGUAAUCUAAUUUUAUUCAUCUUCUUACUUCAUCUUAGACUUUAUUGCCAUCUGUCUUCAUGAGGUAGAUAGAUUGUUUGAGUGUAGCCUUGUGUACUGUCGUUGUCUUUUGUUUCCCUUACAGAGAGCUUGUGUAGAUGCUCACUGCUGUUACUGAAGUGGACUGGAGUUUUAAACCUGUUGCCUGUCCUCUUCAUCUCGUCGUAACACAACCUGUUCUCUUGGCAUGACAAAGUAGAAGCUUCCUCUGCCCAGCCUAGUGACAUGUCACCUGGUCACCAACCUUUCAUCUCCUCUUAUAAUAUCCAUGCUGAGUAGUCCUUACAGAUUGACUCUGUGAUAGACAGUCUGUGUGAUGUCUGAUUGGCAUAGAUGGACAGAGGUUGCUCCAAAAGUAAUGCCUCCUAUUUAUUUCCAUGGAAACCAACAGAUACAAAGAGCACAAUAUUAUUGUUUGAUAGAGCAUAUUCUCAGCUACAAAACACUGUUUUUCAACACAGAUACCACCAUUAACAAGCAUUUGCAAGCUGUAUUCAUAAAAAUCUGCCUGACCUAUAGGAACGUGGCUUGUCUUUCACAUUGCUGUCACCACUGCUGAAACACACCACGCACCACCUCAGUGUGUUCACAUCCUCUGUUCGGUCUCCAUUGAUGGAAUGUCAAUGGGUGCCAUUUUUUCUGCAUGGAGGAAUUUAGUCCCACCCCUCUACUCCAUUCAUACUUCCAUGUCAGAUGCCAUUCUUUCCGAUUGCCCCCCUACUGCCAUCUGUCAUAAACCAAAAAAAUAUAAUGAAAUAUUGAUGGGAAGGUUCAACUUCUACUGCCAUCCCAGCACCAUCCACCUCUGAUGUUGUGGGCCAACAUCAUAAAAUAGGAGGCAUUACUUUCAGAGCAGCCCUCAUAACCGAGAAUGUUUGAAUUAAGUGUGCAGCUGUCUUGAUAGCCUGACAGUAACUUCAGCAAAGGGUGGCAGUGCCUAGGCAGAAUGUGUCUGAAAGCAGGAUUCCCAGUCUGGGAGGUGGAAUUACUUCUCUCUUCGUAUCUUGAUUAUUUAUUUUUGCUGUAUCAACUCUAAUGCUGGGCUUUUGUGUUCACAUCAGCACUUGGUGGAACCAUAUUGGUGGCCCUUUUGAUGGAGGUGAGAGUUUGUCAUUGGUGUAAGGAGAUUUCAUUGUUGUAUCAGUUCUGUAGUUCUUUGACACUCCUAUGUAAAUAUGGUAAAUCCAAACCAAUCCAUGUAUUUGCAUCUCUCUGAGGAUCUGCUUUGAAAUCUGCAUUUCAACAGCCUUUGUAACCGUACCUCAACACAAUGCAGAUAAGAAAGUGCUUUCUGCCAUCCCUGUUAAAAUGCAAGACAGCUUUUCCAGCUGGACAUAACUGCGUACCUUCACUGGUCUCCCCACAAUUGGGAUUUUUCUUCCUUUCCAAGAGUGAGCAGUGCCAUCAUGCCACCAAGCAUGGCAGCAGCUGACACAGGGAUUAAACUGCUUCUUCCUUGCUCUCUGCCUGGAAGAUAAUUCUUGAAGGAAGUACAGUAGGAUUUAGGAAAAAUUUCUUCUCCAAGAGAGUGGUCAGACACUGGAAUGGGCUGCCCAGGGAGGUGGUGGAGUCACCGUCCCUGGAGGUGUUCAAGAAACGUGUAGAUGUUGUACUGAGGGCCAUGGUUUGGUGGGGAAGUACUGGUGGUAGGUGGACGGUUGGACUGGAUGGUCGUGGAGGUCUCUUCCAGCCUUGGUGGUUGUAUGAUUUUCAGCACAUGUACAUAUUUAAGGCAUUUUUUAAAGUGUGUUUCUAAACUUCAUAUUUAGAAACCUGCUUAUUCAAGCUUAUGCUUUGCUAAGUUCUAGGAAAUGAAAUUAACUUGAAGAGCAACUUACUGUAAUUUACUGUGAACAAGUUGUAUCUGUAACAGAAGCUUGCUGGCACAUGCUGCUUUAGGUUGGACAAGGGAUAUGAGUGUGUGUAUCUUUCUGCUAUGUGGUAAGACUCCACGUGAGGAUGGAGGUCCUGGGGCCUUAGAGGAAGACUGAUGUCUUGCCUGAGGAGGAAAUUCAAGGUGUGCGGUCAUGGUUGAUGUAAAAGCCAUUCUGCUCACCCUGCCCUUUGGGCAGUCUGCCCUUCCCAUCCUGCAUAGGUCAAUCCUUUAGGUCCAUCUCAUACGCUGUGGACCUUGCGUUAAAGGGGAGAAUGCACUGCUGGAGGUGUGCCAGUUUCUGAUUCCAAAUGUUGGUGCAUCUUCUCAGCUUCUUUCAUGCUUUCUCUGGCGAUUGCUUCCGUGAAUACAAAAUCUGACAAAUAAUUGCAUUUUGAAGGGCAUGCUUAAUGGAGGUCCAUAAAAAUGAUUUACAGACAACUGCAAACUGAACUAUUACACUAAAGGAUAAAAAGCUUCCUUAAUGAGCUGUACAAGACAGUUAUUGAUGUAUUUAUGAAAACAUUCCCCAGUACAUGCAACCAGGGGAAUUCAAAGAUAAAUAUUUAAAGAUUGUCUGACAGUUUUUGAAUGUAGCAAAACUCGAGUUCCUCUGGUUCCUCUGUAGGGCAGUAAAUGUCUUGAAACAAAAGUAUGUGUGAUUUGUAACAGAAGAGAACAAAACCUGUCUUAAAACUAGAUGUCUUUCUAUGUGACAAUGCUUUGUUCAACCUAAGAGAUAAAGCAAGGAGAAAAUAGGCAUGGGAAGCUUAAGAUAUUAAUAAGGUAAGCCAACAUUUUUUUUUUCUAUCUAGGUAAUUUAUUAGAAUGGUGUCAAAGAAAUGUACUUAAGAUGAUGAAAUGUAACAACAGUUUCGCGUUUGAUUGAGUUUCCUUUCAUCCCAUCAUUGCUGUACACAGUCAGGUUAUUCAAGUGUGAUCUUUAAGUGUUCACAUUGUGAUUUAUAAUCUUGAUCUUCGCACCCCAGGGAGAGAAAAAUUGGUCUGUUGUUAUGAAUCUGAUUAAUAUAUAGAACAAUGUGUGCCCUUUUGGUAUUUAUUACACACAUGUGCUUUUAGUUUGGAUUAUCUCAUUGUUACUUGCACUUUGCAGGCAUACUGCAUUACUCUCUGAGUAACAAACUGUAGGAGCAUUCUAAGUAUUGGGGCUGACACUUGGUGUGGCAUCACCUUGUCAUUGGUGCACUUUAUAUCCUUGACUGGCUUAAUAAUUGAUAAUUUUUAAAUAAUAUGGUUUUCUUUAGGACCACAGCUGCUGUGUCACGUAACUCCUCCUGCCAUACAGAACGAAGACCUGGCUCAUGCUAUUAAAUAAGCUCUAGAGUCUUUUUUAGACUUCUUCCACCACAUUGUUUCUUGGGCUACAGACUGAGACUGGGCUAUGGAGCCUCUUCCUUUGAAGGUUGGUAGAAGGAGUGAAUGAGGGACAGGGGCUGUGCUAGCCAGCCUGUGAAAGGUGCUGGCAGCCGCCCUGAGUGUUGCUCAUGGGUAGAAGAGCUGCAUUAGCAGCCAGUGCUGAAGGUUAAUAGAAGAGUUUUAGUCUUGGGGGAUCUCUUCUUCAGCACCAAGAAGGGUUGUGAUGAAGCUGAAUUUCCCCCUGGGUGACGAUGCUGGUCCCAUUUUCACUUACAAGAACAUGGAAUAUAUUCAUCAACAUUCAUUAACUUCAUGGAUCUCAAGGAAGCACACAUAACCUCCACUAAGACUUCUGAGUUGUAAGUGUAGUAUGGGGUAGUAUUUAAGCUUUUCUAGCUUUCUGCUGGGAUAUAAGGGUUUGGGUUUCUUUCUUUGUUUUCCUUGAUGUCAUUUGAUUGCUUCAAAUUUUACUUUUUUGGCUUAUUUUUCCUGUUUCAUUUCCCCUGUAAGGACGCAGCAGUUCACAUGCACCAAAGUCUCUGUAAUAGUGUCCUUACAAUGAAAGGGGAUUUGUGUACUAAGGAUUGUAUCAGUGAAAAACUAGUGUUGGGUUUUUGCUAUGUGGGAAUGUAAGGCAAGGAGAGCAGAAAAGGAAUAGCCAAUACUUUGAUAGUUAAGGAAGCACAAGGGUACACAUACAAGUCCUGAGCCUUGGAAAGGUUCUCAGUCCAGCUCUGUAUAUCUGACUCAGUAUGGAACAGCCUGUGUUAAUUUAACUUAAAUCUCUCCUGCACCAAAUUGUAGGUGGGAAGUCUGUUGAUCAAAGCCAGACUUUUAAAGCAGGUUUCCUGUAGUAGUGUGUAAAAUCAGUCUUUGUACAAGAGUAGUUCUGUCACCUGCCUUGCAAGCAAAUUACAUUAUGCAAUUUAGAGCCCAAGUAUGGCUUAACUUCAGUGGAUAAAUCUCAUGCCUGUUGUGAAAGCAUUCAUGUCCUUGGGGCCUGUAUUUGAUUUCUCAAUAUGUAGGAACAAUAGAAAUUUGAAGAUUUUGAUUGAAAUGCAACCCAUGGAUUAUGCACAUAACCAUUUGCAGCCUUUACUUAUGCGCCUGUUGUGAAGACGCAUCCACACUAAGGAACUGCAGCUCAGCCUCUUUGCUUGGCUGCAGUGCCUUUUGGUGUAAGCUAGUGGAGAUGUUUUGCCUCUAUCAGAAGAACUGAAGCACUGUUCUUCCAGGGAGGCUGGCAGCAACAAAGAAAGAAGGAUGCCCUGAAUGGCUGUUGGAGGCUGUCAGACUGUUAUAUCUCUUGUAUUUACUGCUUUACUUGUUGCCUUUGGAAGAUUAUUGCUGUCAGUGCUUGAAGGACCCUGCUCCACAGUCACCUAGAUGAUCUCACCUUCUAUUCUGUAUUGUUUUCAGAAAAUACAAUGGUUAGCAUGUUAAUGGUUAACAUACAGUUUUAGCAGCUUCAGUUGCAUUAUAACUCAAAAAUUCUGUCAAGAAGAACUUAGAUUGAGCUUCAGAUUCUGACAGUGUCCUGAAGACAACCUUACUGGCUUCUCCCAGGUGACUUGCGUUUCCAUUCUGCAGGCUGGAGCAAUGUGAUGCUGAGGUGAUCCAGAAUUCCUGACUCUGUGCAGAUCAGCCCUGUCCCUGAGCAACCACCAGGCAGGUACGGUUUAGAUGAGGGUACAGAAGCAUGGAAACCCCUCAGCUUUAUGGGUGCCUCAGUCACCUAGAGCAGAUUGUCUGUGAGAUGAGAGUGCACAGAGACCACAGUUGGAUAUUGUACACCUCUGGAGUAGUUACCUUGGCAACUAUCAUACUGUGUGCGGUUUGGUUGCGAGGAACUGGCACAGCAGAGAAGUGUGACAUGUGAGACAUAAUCCUCUGUGGAUUUCCGAAGAUGGCAAGCAGGUGAUGGCGUGAGCAUUUCUGCUGUUGGCAGCGUAAUGGCCACGAGCUCAUUGCUGUAGCAGCCCUACUCUCACAAUUUAAAUUCCUCAUGUUAACAAAAAUGAAGAGCUGUGCAGUGGUACAUGUUAUCAGCACUUUUUCUGGAGGAGUUCCUUGAGAAUGAAGGUGAAUAAAACCAUCCUGCUUACCUCACCACCUCCCACUCGUUUUGCCUAAAACGCCUCAUUGAAAUUUCUUAGCAGAGCAGGGCUGUGCAGCUCCUGGAGGAUCCUCUUAGAUCUUGGUUGGUGGGAGGUGGAUUUGCCUGGGCUGCUGACUUCUUUUUCUUCAAAGACCUCGGUAAGCUGUGUGAGUUCCCAGGGCACCCAUCCCAUCCCCCUCCCAGCCCAGGGGAGCCCACAUGGCUCAGAAUAAUGAAGGCCCUUACUGAGGGUGUCAGGGUUCACGAUUCCUCUCCUCUAGUUCUUGUGAUGAUUCUAUAAGGCGCCAGUAGGGCUUGUUAACAGAGCUGAUCAAUGAGACUUGUGUGCAAGGAUCGCUAAGAUCAAUUCUGCAAUGAAUCAAAGAGUCCUUCCAGUAUUGACUUUCUUUUUAAACAGCAAAAACUGGAAGAAAAAAAAAUAUAAGAGUAUUCACCACUAUUGGUGUGUGUGGCUGAGCCGUCCCUGAAGGGCAGCAGUCUGCAUGCAGCUGUGCCAGGGGUUCCAGGUGGCACAGACCUCAGAGACCCCCGAGUGAGGAAGCAGAGAUGGGGUUGCUCAUGGUGCUGUAUUUUGGCCCAUGCUCAGUGCGUCACUGUUGUUUGAAUCUUAAAAAGAUUGCCCCCUCCUCGUUCCAUUUUAGUUUCCUGGUCGUAGCUUUUGUCUUUCCAUAGCAAAUGUGGUUCCUCAAGCAUUGCAGAGUACAGGCGCUUUUACUUGACUUUGAAAUAUUUUAAGCCUGAUUCUCUUUCACUUAGCUUUCACUUCUAGAAAUGAAAAAUAUCAGAAUAGAUGGAGUUGCUCAUUUUCUGUGUACUUCAGUGGGAACUCUGUCAGGUCAAGUCUAGCACAGACAAGAGGCCCCUCACCGCUGGGUAGGAAGAGACAGCUUGGUAGUCUGCAUUCCAAGUCAAGGUGCAUUUCCAGGAGAGGUGGGAAGGGGGGUGGCAAAGCAAGUUUCACAGAACUCUCUUAGUUCUCCUUGGUGGAGUAAUCCCUGUUAAAAAGCUGACUGAUCAGUGACCAUAAGGAGAUAUACCACUGUCUUGUACAGGCUUACUGUACUUGGAAGUGCAAUCAGUGUUUUAAUGACUGUUCCCUGCUGCAGUAUAUUUAACUGCAUCGAUUGAUACCUUAAAACUGUGGCUGUUCAUUAGGCUUUAAAAAUUUUCCUUCUUUAUGUGUUGUAUGUGGGAGUGUAAGCCAUCGGCUCAUGUAAAAUGUAAAGCUUUCUUUUGGGAUACCCACUCAUUUAAAAAUAUAUAUAUAUAUAUGAAAAAAAGAUCAGGUGGGUUCAUUCAUCAAGGUGUGAAUGCUUAAGACCAUUUUACUAACGUGAAACCAAAAUCUGGUGAUUUUAGGGGAAUCACAGAAUCACCAAGGUUGGAAAAGACCUCCAAGAUCUUCCAGUCCAACCAUCCACCUGCCACCAAUAUUCCCCACUGAGCCAUAUCCCUCAGUACAACACCUAAACAUUUCUUGAACACCUGCAGGGUCGGUGACUCCACCACGUCCCUGCGCAGCCCAUUCCAAUGCCUGACUACUCUCCUGGAGAAGUGUUUCCUAAUGUCCAACCUGCAUUGGAGUUAACAUUCUGUUGUGUUUUAGUGAGUAGAGCACAGUGUAGGGUGGGUUUCUUGUACAAGUGCAUCUAUUCAUUCAGCAGCAAUACAAACCCAUGUCAGUAUGGUUUUCAGCACACCCAUGGGUGUGGAUGGGGUUGCUGGUGCUCUCAGGUCUGCUGCUUCCUGCUGUAACGAGCAGCCUGAAAGCUGCAGCUUGCUGUGUGUGUUCACACAGCCUGUCAGUCUGCUGCUGCCAUUUGAUUUAGGAUGAUGAAAGCAGCAGCAAAAUCCAGCUACAAGUGAAGUGAGUUGUGUUGGAUGGAUUUGUAACUCCUGGUGACCUGAGGAAGGAGAGACGAUGCCGCUGGAUGUCACCUGGCAGUGGGCAGACACCUCAGCCCUGGCUGUAAGUACGGGAGAGUUUUGCAGCUGCAGUCUUCCUUUUCAGCUUUGUUCUCACAGCUCUGGGCCUUCUGGUCGGAUCCAUGCAGGGCUGCCGUGCCGUGUUUCAGUCAGUGCCCUCCCACAGGCUGGGAGCUCUGUACAAUUUGCCCUUUUGAAACAUGAUCCUUUGUUCCUACUGAACUCGGGGCCGCUAUCCCAGGAACCUCGUUCCAUUUUCCAGCUGUCUGAAAUUGGGCUUUCUGCUGCAGAGGAUUUUCUUGCCAUAUCAGAGAUUCCCUCUCCCUCCAGGCUUUUUAUUGCUAAAACAGUAGGCUAUGAAUGCUGCAUCAUGGUGCAUACAGGUGUGUGUAUCAGUGUUUGUGCCAGCAGACUGCAGGCAUUAUCUUAUGCUGUGCAUUUGUGAAAGUGCUGUGAAUGUUCUGUGGGUUAUAACACUCAAUUGCACGGUGCAUCUUCCCAAAUUCCCACAAAGAACAGCAGAACUGACAGCAAGAGAUGCACUAACAAAAUCACACGGAGCUCUUGCCAAGCAGAGGGCAGUUUUGUUCCUAGGCACUGAAGGACGACGAUGACCAACAACAUGCUUGCUCCUAUAUUAAUAGGUUUUAUUUCACCAUAAAUCUUACCGCACACCCUGCAGCUUGUUGUGCCUUUGCCACACUAAACUGUCCUGCAGGACGUUGCUCACAUCUUGCUCACGUGCUGUCCUUUCUGAUCAACCUGCCAGGCGAUGGAGCAGGAUAGGGACGUCAGGGCAGAACUGACCAGGAGGUACGGACUGCUUCAGCCAGGAGGAACAACACUGACUCCUGUGUUUUAUCUGGCUGCUGGCUGUGGGAAUCCUGCCAACCAGCUGGUGAAAAGGGUAUAAAAUCUGACUUUGUGUAAUAUUACAUGUUUCUAUGAUCCUUGCUUUUAGCAAAUAGUUCAUUCCUAACCACUGUUGGGAAGCAGGCAGACUGACAGUGCUGUGAGUGCACGUGGGCUCUGCUCUACAGACACAGCCCAUGUUUCCAGGGUGGUACUCCAUCUCCCUUCCAUGCUUUGGUACUUAGAAAGGAUUAACUUUGCCCUCAGUGCCUUUACACAAACAGCACUAAAAUAUUUGAAGGAAUGUGAUUUUCUCUGGGGCUGGAUGGAAUUAAAGCAUUGUACUUGUCGUGAUUUAAGGUUGUUUCUGAUGAUGGAGGCUGGCUGAGGUUUCUCACUUCUGCUGUCCUCUCUUGCAUGCCUUGUUUCCUACAGUCUGUGUAACAAGCUUUCCCAGGGGAAAUCUCCCAGCAACAGCAUACGCUGAUGAUGCUGUGACGCCUGGCUGUCGGAGUUGUUGCACACAAAUAGGACUGACAAGUGAAACAGAAAAUGUGAGACUAUCUGAUGUUCCAGGGAGGAUGGCUGAAGCACGGCCACUGCAGGAACGCGGCUCAGUUAAACUUGCUUCUCCCAAAGCAAAGAUCAUUAGGUUAAAAAACAACUGGUCUUUUGACAGGCCUGCUUUCCAAAUGAGACGGCACCAACACCAGCUUUCAGUUUUAAGAAGCUGCCAUUAUUUAUCCCUUUAAAUCACUGAUUUUAUUAGUUCUGCUGGCAGCUUUCUUAGCUGAAUCUGCAUUUUGUGUAAUUUGUUGUAGUUCACUUGUGCGGGCAGGUUACUAUUUUCUUUGUGCUUGUAACUGUGAUUACAGUGUUCAGACUUUCCAACCCUAGCACUGUACCCAGGGUAGGCAGUGUCACCUGUUGAGGUUGCCCAAGAGCUCCCACUAUAAAUCCUAAUUUCUAAUACAUCCAUGUAUCUCUACAGCAGUCCCUGUGCAGACUUGUUGCUGGCUCACGCCUGCCAGUACUUCACAGAGAUGCAGGUGAGUGUCUCAAUUAAGCAGGUGAGCUGGAAGGUGCUUUCCCCAUCAUCGCUUGCAGACUGUCUCCCUGUCAUCUCCUUCUGUCUGACAUACCUGAUUGUUUUUGCUGGGCCGCAGUGUGCAGAAAUGACUGUGGCAAUAAUUCUUCUGCUCUCCUUAAACCUUUCAGAUGCCAUUGGUGGACUUUUCACUGCUGGACAGAAGGCAUUUGAGUGAUUACUUGUUGUGAAGUACCUUCUGCAGAGACUGCCUGCAGUUUUGGAAGGCAGCUGGAUAGCAUCAUGCAUUAGUAAUCUAAUGACCUUUACCCCUCGGCACCAUUUCCUCACAUCUUGAACAGCUUGGCAAUACUAGGAAAGCAUCCCAUGGUUCAGUACAGUUGUGUAAUAGAAGUUCUUCUCAUUACAUUUCACUCAUUGACUGAUUUUAUCUCAAGAGUAAGCACAGCAGCUAGAAAUCACAGGAAGCCUUGGAAGAGAGUUGGAUUAAUACCUGAAGGCAGUUUCCUCUGGAAGUGAGCUUUCCUUCGAGGCAUGGAGCAGCACUGCUGCUGUGGCUGCUGCACUGGGGCUGCAGGAAGUACCUCUGUGCAGACAAAACUCAUUCUGGGAACAUGCAAAGAACACAGAGUUUGGACCCAAUUACUCACUCUGCCAUCUUUUUUUAUCCUCAAGGAUGGGGGGGAAUCCUUUAUCAGUGCAUAGUAAUCGUCUUGAUGUCCAAUGAAAAGAGCAAUGACAAACAUUUCCUUGCCAGACAAUGAGUACUGCAGGCAGACAGCUGGGUUACUUUCCACCUUUGCACGAGCACAUCUGCUCAACGAGCACGGCGUGCAUUCGGAGAUACCCGAGCACGCAGGGCUGACAUUUGCUUUUCAGAAGCGCCCCCCUGACAGGCACUUGAAUGCUCAGACACCCAUGUGAAAGGUACACAGGACAUCAGUGGGACGAGCUGCGUAACUCACACCACUGACACGUCUCUUUUCACUUGCAGUAUUUAUAGCUGGCAGUGAUUUCCCAUUGCGCACUUUUGCUUUAGGAAGGACUUCUAAAAUAUCAAGAGUUUGUUCCAUACAGACCUUUUCCUUUGGGUACAUGAAGGAGGCUGAUGUCAACGGCAGCUCUCGGACGUGGCCCUGAAUGCACAGCAGUACGAGCCAUUCUGCUUGUGCAUGUGGUCAGCUUUUGCUUCAGUCUUCUUGUGCUUCUGCUUGUGCUUCAGUCAGCAUGACUUUCAGAGCUCUUCAUUUUAUUUUAUGGCUAAUUUCACGAAUUCAUUAGGGGCAUUGUAGUGGCAGUGCUCAGUCACAGCCUGAAACAGUGAUGGAGCACCUGGUGGGAAGGCAGGGCCAACCCAGGGGAGUUCAGGUGCACGUAGUGCUGCUGAGUGACUAGAAGGGAUGGAGUCAGGAUCCACCCCUUCCCAGCCCUCAUUUAAGGGUUGGCAGUGGAGCUGAGGGUAUCUUUUGCUGGAGAUUCCUGCUUACCUGCAGCCUUCUAAGAGUAAGCAGUUCUUUUCCUUAAUUUUUGCAUCUGUGGCUGUUGCAUUUGGGCUCAUUCUCAUUUGGAGUAGCUAAAGACUUUGACGCCCUGCUAUUAUCCUAUUAUAGCGUUGCAGGCAUUAAUAAUAGUUAAGGAGAUUUAAAUCCCUUAUGACUGUAACACUGGGCAGGCUGCAGGGGUGUGCAGAUGUCAUCUCCAUGUUCUUCUGGAGGAAUUUUGGAUGCUCAGUAGCAGUGAUGCCAGUGUUGGGGCAUGCACCCAGAGCACCCCUGUCUGGAGGAAAUGUAGUUCCCCACAUCUUGCAACGCACAGAGCUGUGAGAACACCAGAAUGCCUGAGCACUCAUCUGCUGCCCAGCUCUUGGCUGCUGCUAGAUGCAGCUCGUGACUUUGAAACCAGUUGUUUGCAAAAGAGCUCUGUGCCAUGCCCUGCAGGGCGAGCAGGGCCUCGUGCUGCAGCUGCUGACUAAUGCAUGACACCUCUGCUGUGAGGCAGUUGUGUUCACUCACCGAGGUCAGGGUGACUCAAAGCAGCACAUGUUCCAUGUCGAUGCCCAGAGGCAGCUGCUGUUUUACAUCAUGACAAUGUCAAUUAUCACCUACAACACUCCUGUAAGGAGUAAAAUGGCAUUGACAAAAGAUGCAAUUAUUUGGCUGUUUGCUUUCUCAGUCCUCUGCUAAUGUCAGUGUCUGGCUGUCUCUCUGAUGAUGCCUUUAAACCACAUGUGUGACAGCUACACUGCGUUGAAAAAACACAGCUUUCCCCACCUGUGUGUGCAUGAGGAGAUGUGCUGUUGCAGAGAUGCCCUGAUCUUUCUGAGCACCACUGUAAUGCUGCUGGAGAAGCUCAAGGGGGGAUUGUGUCCUUUCCAGUGGAGGCUGGAGGUGCAAUAUUGAUCUCAGCCCCCAUCUCUCGGAUAGCUGGAGUGUCAAGCACUGGGUAGAAUUGCUGUAAGUGUGCUGGCUCUUGCUGUGCUCCUGGCCGUUCCUCUGCUUCAUGUCUAUGUGCUUGGGCCUUUGGAGCUGGCUGCUGCACCAGCCCAGCUCUCGGAGGUGUCCCCCAGCAGCUGCUGCCUGGGGUUGCUUGGGCUGCUCGCAGGAGCUGAGGGCACAGCCCAGCCCGCUGUGCUGGCAGAGGCUGAUGGUCUGCCCAGAGCAAGUUUUUCUCCUCCACCACAGUCAUCUGACCUGUCCUUAGAAGGGCAUCUGCUUUUGGGGGGCAAGGCCAACAAAAAACAACAGCAACAAAAAGCUUUUGUGAUUCGUCUCUUAUUUAGAGCAUGUGCUAAUGAUGAAUUUGGGUGCAUCCCAUCUUGUCUCUAGGAACAGCUGGAAUAACUUCUGUGUUUUUGCACUGGAAACAACAAUGUUGCCGAAUCAUAGCUGUUCUUUGUGAAUCUCUCCAUUUCUUUAAGUUGUCAAUUUAUGGAAAAGUGGAAGAAUCUGGUAGUGAAACUGAAACUUCUUGUUUGAUCAUUUUGGUACCAGCAGAUGUGGGGAAUUCAUUCCAGGACAAGUUUAUUGCCUACGUUCAUGUUCUGACAUUGCCAAAAUGAGCAGAAAUAAAAGCCUUCCCCACCCCCCUCAGGUUUUUAAAUAUAAUGGGAAAUGUUUUGUUCUUUGGAGUUGUGGCAGAGUCUGCACGAUUUAACCUUGCAGACUUAUCCUGUUCAACCACAGGUCGUGUGCUGCUGUCCCAGCAGCUGGGGCUGGAUCCAUGCAGUCAGUCUGCACACGACGUGGAGGUUUGCUGAUGCUGCACAGUUGGGUGCAGGCAGUCAUCUGCAGAGCCCUCACGCCUUUGUAUCAUCCAGCCUGAUACUCAUAGCGCUGUUUUACUAAGCCCAAAGCCUUUACUGGUUACACAUGCUGUGUGUCAUUCCUUCCAUUGGCACGUGCUCCGUUCGGCAUUCUCUCAUUCACGUACGACACAGGGAAGGGAUUGUAUACUCCACUGUGAUACCACUUACAUCUCCUCCUUUGUUUCUAGGCAUGUAAUUACAUAUGGAUUUGGACCUUAACAAACCAUGGGUUGCUUUAGGUUACACUUGCUCCUGCCUCAGCCUACCUACGUGUUUUCAUUUAGAUUUUGGCAAGACCUUUGUCUGGCCAGCUGGCUUUUGUGCUCGAGACCAUCCUGUCUUUUGUCUUGAGUUAC
ensembl:lncRNA